rnacentral:lncRNA from 1 species
UGUGGCUAAUUAAGAAUGUAAAUACUUAUCUCUGUGUAUUAAUGCACGCAUAUUUAGUUUACCAAAGAUUUCGCUUCUCUGUGCUGGAUUGGAGUUUAUAUUUCCCUAUCUUGGGUUUAGUAUUUGAUGUCAAGUGUUCUAUUAUCAUACCCCUAUCUUUGUAUUUUAUUUUGCUCAUGAAGCGUCUAAAUACAUAUGUCCCCUAGUAUGCCAGGUGGAUUUAAUUUCAAAAAGGUUUGGGUUCCGUUACCUAUGUCUUGGGGUUUAUAUUCCCCUAACUUGGGUUUAGUGAUUACUCUCAAUUGUUCUAUUAUCACCUCAGUUAGUUUUGUAUUUCAUCUGGCUCAUUAUGAAUGUAAAU